ensembl:lncRNA
CGUUAAACCCCGGCCGGCACCUUCAGAAUUGGUGAAGUCGUGAAACUUUUAAUAAGGGUGAAAACGAGGGUUUGAAAAUGAGUCCAACAAAUGAGGCUAUUUUCCACAUUACCACCGAUCGGGAUAAAGCAGGGCUUGAUGUGAAAUACAUUAAUACAUUCAAAGGUGAGCAAACCAUAUAAAUAAACAUGGACUUUAUCCCGAUAAAACAGUGGGUUAGUUAGCACGCUUUAUUAUUCCUAAACAAGGCAGAGAAGUGUUUACUUCACUAAAGGAGAAUUUAUGCUGAAAUAUAGAGGAGACCUAAUCAACUCUCUGGAAAGUAAAAGAAGUCAACGAGUUUACCACAACAACAUGAAAGGAUUUAGGUUCAACUUCAUCUAGCACGGAAAAUUCUGGACUAUUGAAGCUGCAAGGGAUGAUGACUCUUGGAAGAUGAGCACAUUAACUCCAAUUGCAAAAUGAAGAGAAUCAUUGUGAAAGGAAAGCCCCAUUUGUGCUUUUUUGCUUUAAGAGACAUAACACCUGGAGAGGAGAUCGCAGGCUAUAAUUACGGAGAUGCUGAUUGUCCCUGGAGGAGUAAAGUAAGACUGUUGCUUCUUGUAGUAAUCGUGGAUAAUUGUGGAUGUGGACACUAAUCGUCUGGAGUCAGGUGGUACCUCUGGAGAUGAUACCCAGUG